AUACUUACCUGGCAGGGGAGACGCCAUGAUCAGGCAGGUUGUUUUCCCAGGGCGAGGCUCAUCCCCUGCAC
rnacentral:snRNA from 15 species